GGAUUCCCCUAGUAACUGCGAGUGAAGCGGGAAAAGCUCAAAUUUAAAAUCUGGCGGUCUUUGGCCGUCCGAGUUGUAAUUUAGAGAAGCGUCUUCCGCGCCGGACCGUGCACAAGUCUCCUGGAAUGGAGCGUCAUAGAGGGUGAGAAUCCCGUCUUUGGCACGGAUGCCCGGUGCUUCUGUGAUGCGCUCUCGAAGAGUCGAGUUGUUUGGGAAUGCAGCUCAAAAUGGGUGGUGAACUCCAUCUAAAGCUAAAUAUUGGCGAGAGACCGAUAGCGAACAAGUACCGUGAGGGAAAGAUGAAAAGCACUUUGGAAAGAGAGUGAAACAGUACGUGAAAUUGUUGAAAGGGAAACGCUUGAAGUCAGUCGCGUCGACCGAGACUCAGCCUUGCCUCGGCUUGGUGUACUUCUCGGCCCGACGGGUCAGCGUCAAUUUUGCCCCUCGGAUAAUGGCAAGGGAAAGGUGGCACCUUUACGGGUGUGUUAUAGUCUCCUGUCGCAUGCGAGGGGUGGGAUUGAGGAACUCAGCGCGCACCUUGGUGUCGGGGGCUUCGGCCCACGUCACGCGCUUAGGAUGCUGGCGUAAUGGCUUUAAACGACCCGUCUUGAAACACGGACCAAGGAGUCCAACACGCCCGCGAGUGUUCGGGUGGAAAACCCGUGCGCGUAAUGAAAGUGAAAGUUGGGACCUCUGUCGUGGAGGGCACCGACGCCCGGACCAGACCUUCUGUGACGGAUCUGCGGUAGAGCGUGUGUGUUGGGACCCGAAAG
rnacentral:rRNA from 1 species